CCCGCUUCUUUCCUUCCCGCACAGACCACCACAGUUUCGGAAUGUUUGAACAACACGGUGUGCUGCUGUUGCCGGUGUGACAGCGGCCCCCCGAUGGACGGGAAAUAUCGAGAGAUGGUGAGAAGCAGAAAUAGAGAAGAAAUUGUACGGAAGAGUACAGUUUGGUGGUGAGAGAAGGCGCAAGAAUCG
ensembl:ncRNA T19A5.11 ncRNA